GCCUAAUACAUGCAAGUCGAGCGAACAGAUAAGGAGCUUGCUCCUUUGACGUUAGCGGCGGACGGGUGAGUAACACGUGGGUAACCUACCUAUAAGACUGGGAUAACUUCGGGAAACCGGAGCUAAUACCGGAUAACAUUUGGAACCGCAUGGUUCUAAAGUGAAAGAUGGUUUUGCUAUCACUUAUAGAUGGACCCGCGCCGUAUUAGCUAGUUGGUAAGGUAACGGCUUACCAAGGCAACGAUACGUAGCCGACCUGAGAGGGUGAUCGGCCACACUGGAACUGAGACACGGUCCAGACUCCUACGGGAGGCAGCAGUAGGGAAUCUUCCGCAAUGGGCGAAAGCCUGACGGAGCAACGCCGCGUGAGUGAUGAAGGGUUUCGGCUCGUAAAACUCUGUUAUUAGGGAAGAACAAACGUGUAAGUAACUGUGCACGUCUUGACGGUACCUAAUCAGAAAGCCACGGCUAACUACGUGCCAGCAGCCGCGGUAAUACGUAGGUGGCAAGCGUUAUCCGGAAUUAUUGGGCGUAAAGCGCGCGUAGGCGGUUUCUUAAGUCUGAUGUGAAAGCCCACGGCUCAACCGUGGAGGGUCAUUGGAAACUGGGAAACUUGAGUGCAGAAGAGGAAAGUGGAAUUCCAUGUGUAGCGGUGAAAUGCGCAGAGAUAUGGAGGAACACCAGUGGCGAAGGCGACUUUCUGGUCUGUAACUGACGCUGAUGUGCGAAAGCGUGGGGAUCAAACAGGAUUAGAUACCCUGGUAGUCCACGCCGUAAACGAUGAGUGCUAAGUGUUAGGGGGUUUCCGCCCCUUAGUGCUGCAGCUAACGCAUUAAGCACUCCGCCUGGGGAGUACGACCGCAAGGUUGAAACUCAAAGGAAUUGACGGGGACCCGCACAAGCGGUGGAGCAUGUGGUUUAAUUCGAAGCAACGCGAAGAACCUUACCAAAUCUUGACAUCCUUUGAAAACUCUAGAGAUAGAGCCUUCCCCUUCGGGGGACAAAGUGACAGGUGGUGCAUGGUUGUCGUCAGCUCGUGUCGUGAGAUGUUGGGUUAAGUCCCGCAACGAGCGCAACCCUUAAGCUUAGUUGCCAUCAUUAAGUUGGGCACUCUAGGUUGACUGCCGGUGACAACCGGAGGAAGGUGGGGAUGACGUCAAAUCAUCAUGCCCCUUAUGAUUUGGGCUACACACGUGCUACAAUGGACAAUACAAAGGGCAGCUAAACCGCGAGGUCAUGCAAAUCCCAUAAAGUUGUUCUCAGUUCGGAUUGUAGUCUGCAACUCGACUACAUGAAGCUGGAAUCGCUAGUAAUCGUAGAUCAGCAUGCUACGGUGAAUACGUUCCCGGGUCUUGUACACACCGCCCGUCACACCACGAGAGUUUGUAACACCCGAAGCCGGUGGAGUAACCAUUUAUGGAGCUAGCCGUCGUAAGGGGACAA
rnacentral:rRNA from 1 species